rnacentral:rRNA from 1 species
AAUUUUGGACAAUGGGGGAAACCCUGAUCCAGCCAGCCCGCGGGUAUGAUGAAGGCCUUCGGGUUGUAAAGUACUUUUUGCAGAGGAGAAAGGGUACCUCCUAAUACGAGGUACUGCUGACGGUAUCUGCAGAAUAAGCACCGGCGAACUACGGGCCAGCAGACGCGUUAAUACGCAGGGUGCAAGCGUUAAUUGGAAUUACUGGGCGUAAAGCGUGUGUAGGCGGUUCGGAAAGAAAGAUGUGAAAUCCCAGGGCUCAACCUUGGAACUGCAUUUUUAACUGCAGAGCUAGAGUAUGUCAGAGGGGGGUAGAAUUCCACGUGUAGCAGUGAAAUGCGUAGAUAUGUGGAGGAAUACCGAUGGCGAAGGCAGCCCCCUGGGAUAAUACUGACGCUCAGACACGAAAGCGUGGGGAGCAAACAG